UACACAAAAUCGAUGUGAUAUCGCAUUCGUUUGUCAGGCAAUAUUAAGUCUCGCAACACUGCUGUCAUCGACCGGAUCGACGGCAGUCUCGCGAUGAAGCAGCCAUAUUUGUUUUCGUUUCUUCUCAAAGUGGCUGCCGUUUUUCUACUUUUCGUAACUUUUUAUAGUUGGCGAAGGUGCAUUGUUAUUCCGACGAGCGCAGGAAUUGGAAUGCAAGUGGAUGAUCGCUGGUGCCCAUUCCGAAUUUUACCCGAGAAGGUUUUCCCCCUGCAAAUUUAACACUCCAGCAAAUCCGAAGGUUCCGUUCCUAGGCGACGGUAUCACAAUCAAGCCACUUUCGGACUGUGGCAAGUGUAGCCCCGCUGAAGCCGCCCUAAGGAAGAAAUGGUAAGUUGGGACUUGCAGCCGGUUGAUCGAAAAUUAACUAUCAUUAUUGCUAUUUACUUUCAGGAAGAAAAGUGCGUGCAACCGACUGCCGGUGGAUUGCCAUCCAAAGUUGUUUCCAGCUGGUGUAAGCUGUCAGUAACAAUGUUUCGAGAAGAGACAGUAUCCAGUGUUGGCUGCCCGGCGGGCCCCAAGAAGACAUCCAGCAUGGACAGCUGUCGAGCGAGCAUAUUGGCAAGGUGAUAAACAAGGAACUGGCGUGGAGGUAACAGCUAAAAGUGGCUCGAAAGGACGAGAGCUACUAUUUCAUUGCGGUGUAUUCCGAGCGGACAAUCGAUGAGUAUUCCAAGGAGAACCUUGCGAUACUUUGGAAGGCCGGCGAAGCAUAGUUGGUCGGGUUAUUUGUAGUCAAGGGCAUCAAAGUGGUAAGUGAAAUUGUAAAGUUGUGAAGGAUUUUUCUCUAAUAUGGAAAACCUUUAAAAAUUCAAACCAUUUUCCCUCUAUUACAGGGCGAGGAGCUUACAUUCAACUAUAAUUUUGGAAGCAAUGGUUCCGAGAAGAAGAUUGCCACUGCAAUGCUGCGGCUCCAUCGGGCAAAUGUAUCUUCUCCGUUGGAGGAUCCUUCUUUGGUCGACGCAAGUCGGGCAAAAAGGCCAAAAGAUCGAAAAUUCUCCGAUGCAACGGACGAGAGGCAGAAAAGUGCCAUACAAAAAGCGUUGAAGAACGAAACGCCGGGAGGUGGCAAGGCCAGGAAGCGGAAGACGGCAGUUCAAGCCACCAGUUACAACGAAUGUGGCCUACGAAAGCGUGACUAAUGAGGCCGAGCAUGGCUGCUACGGAGGAUACCCUAUUUUGAAAGGGGUGCAGGAAGCGGUCUGCUCCGGCGAUACAACAUCCUCACCUCCGUUCUGGAGGUCCAGGAUCUGCAGCGCUACAUCAAUCGAGUGUUGCACACGUCCCACAGUUGCUCCAGGACACGCCAGACUUAACGUUGAAAGGU